rnacentral:piRNA from 1 species
UGAGUUAUCCGUAAGGGUGAAUCCAUAAG